UGGGCCGACAUGUGAAAGUCUGGCGAACGCGGGGCCCGGGCAUUGAUCAUUUCCCGAGAGGAAGCAAUCAGCCACACUGAGAUCGAAAGUUAUCAGGUUGCAGGUUUUGAUACGGCGGGCUAUCGGCAGUUGAUCCUGCUCCUUCCCCACUUUGUAAAACUGUGAGAUGUGAGGGAGCAAGCGAAGGCAGAGCCAAGGAUUGAAUUUGAAUACAGGCAGUGAUGCGAGUGAACCAGAAUUUUAACUGUAAUAACCGAUUCGCCGUAGUUUGAUCAGAAGAUAACGAAAGAAGGAGGAGGAGUAGGAAGAUCUGGAUUUGGUUUCUUAGAAGAUCCGUCUGUCGGAUUCGAUCAUGGAGUUGCAGGAAUCUGGUUGGGAGGAACUGAGAAAGGAAGCACGGAAGAUCGAGGGUGAUCUUGACGUCAAGCUGUCUUCCUAUGCUAAGCUGGGCUCUAGGUUCACGCAAGGAGGUUAUGUGGAAGGUGGGUCACCUCCUCUUGGGUCCAGUAGGUCAUGGAAGUCAAUGGAAAUGGAAAUCCAAUCCUUGCUUGAGAAACUAUUGGACAUAAAUGAUUCAAUGAGUAGAUGCGCUGCAUCUGCUGCACCGGCUACUUCUGUCACCCAGAAACUAGCCAGGCACAGAGACAUUCUUCAUGAGUUUAACCAGGAAUUUAGACGUAUAAAGGGGAACAUAAACUCGAUCAGAGAACAUGCGGAGCUUUUAAGUUCAGUCAGGGAUGACAUUAGUGAAUUUAAGGCAUCAGGAAGCAUGUCACCAAGGAUGCAGUUGUUACGGGAGAGAUCUGCAGUCCAUGGAAGCAUAUCUCAUGGAAGGGAAUAAACCUCCUCUUUUUCCAAAUGGGGUGUAAGCUGGAAAUGGACUAUAGUGCACAGCUAUUCAAAGCAGAAGUUUAUUGCUGCAGCUUUACAUGGUGCAACUUUAUGAUUGAGGGAAGGUGUUUCUGUAGACUCAAAACUCAAUUUGAUAGAAUAAUGCUAAAUUGCUGGGAUCUACGGGCUUUGUUUUCAUAUAGUCUCCAGCAUUGAUGUAUAACUUUGAUAGGAAACCAGAAAUACAACAGACCACCCAGAAAUGAGUGACAAACUAGAAAAAUUAGGAAACGGGGACAAAGAGAUGCAGACAUGGCAACUCAAGUUUGGCAGCAUUCCUUCUAGACCACCAGGCAUUUACACCAGCAACCCCUUUUACCAUUUGGUCAUUGACCACUGCUCCUGGUGACACGUGUAGCUCAUUGAUUCAAUGAUUGAUGAUGUAAUUAGUCAAGCUCAAGCAACAAGAUCUGUUUUGGGGUCUCAAAGGGCUUUGUUUGGUGAUGUUCAAGGGAAAGUGAAACUUCUCGGCGAUAAGUUCCCUAUGAUUCGAAGUUUGCUUGGU